GGCGGAGGUAGAGCACGCUUGGGUGAAACGGCUUUUAUUCCACGGCCCUCCUCUCUCAGUCCUGUCCUCGUUCCCCAUUUUCCUCCUCCCAAAUCAGGCCAGAUCCAGCGGUAACCACCGGAGGAGGCAAAGGUAACCGGCGCCACAACCGCAGCCAAAGAUGGGCGGCGAACAUUGGGAAGUGGAUCAACUGCCACCGUAGCUGAAGUUGCGCGGAGGAAGCUGAAGACGUUAGCCCGCGGGGGGGUUCGCUGCUCGUCGCCAGUGCAGUGAUUUGAGCUGAAAUAGAAGGAAGGAAGUACAUAAGAGUACUAAGAGGAUAGUUUAGAUGGUUUUGCUCAACCCUCUCAAAAUGCAUCUGUGUGGUUUCUCUGUUUUCUCUUAAGUUGUGUUCAUAUAAGUAACCAGUUGGCUAGUUUAUUGUAACAGUUGCACAGGGAUGCAAAUGUAGUUGGAUGACACAUAUACGUAUGUUAGUUGGCUAGCCAACUUAUGAAGUUGCACAAUAAGGGCUAACCAGUUGCACAUUCGAUGAUAUUCAGAUGGAUACACGGAUACACUGCGUAAACCAUGUUCAAGCAGUUUGUGUGUGUGGUUUCUUGGUUGCACAUCCAUGUGUGCCCUAUUUCCAAGGGUAUGCGUGAGGAGUUUUGUAGCGACCCGAUCCGAAUGGAUCAAGUCUCUGUGCUUAAGUGUCAUCCCUAGAUCGGUAUGCUGACACACACAGUACUCGAGGAUUUAUAACAGAGGUAAUUACAUGUAUAAAGUAACGAAAAUACUAUUACCUCAAUCCAUAUAGCGGAAGUAACAAUAAGGUUGUGUAUUCCCAUCAACACCAAUGGCAAAGUUGAGUGUAGACAUCGUAACCCUAACAUAUCACUUACUCGUCGUAAGAAUCCAUGAGAGCAUCUCCAGCCGCCCCCCAGGAAGCCCUCCCAAGCACGUUUUUGCGCGCCGGUGGAUAAAAAUCUUCCCACUCGUGCCCCCAAAGUCUCCUUUUUUGCCGGAUGAAGCAAAAAUCGGCGCCGGCAGCCCCAACCCAAACCCAGGAACCCGGGGGGCACCUGGGGGGCUAAUUUUGCCUUUUGCAGGCGCGCCCCCACAUGCAGUGACAUAUCUCCUCCCCCCCACCUUUUCGUCUCUCUCUCCCCACCUUUUCGUCUCUCUCUCCCCACCCUUUCCUCCUCCCGUCGCGCGCGUGCCUCCUCUCCAGCUCGCCCCGUCGGCCGCCGCGGCGCCUCCAGUCCUCGUCGACGCCGCACAGACGACAUCCCCGGCCACUGGCGUCGAGGGAGGAAGCGGUCGCCCGGCCACGCCCAAGAUCUCCUCCACCUCCUCCCGCAAGAAGCCGGAACCAGCGCCGUCGUAGAACGUCGUCCUUGUCCCGUCGGCGGCGCGGCCACGGGCGCGAGCGGGCGGCGUGGCCACGGGCACGAGCAGCGGCGUCCAUAGUGGGCGGGGGCAGCAGCGGCCAGCGGAGGCGGCGAGGACGUGCUGCUGGAAGGACGGGGCGGCUUGGGGGUGGACACGGCUGGGAAGAUUUUCAUCCCCAGGCCAAAAUCUUCGCCGGUAGCCCCCCAGGCGGCGAAAAAAUGCCUCCUAGGGGGCUCAACGGCAGAAGAUGCUCUGAGACAUUGCAGCCAUGUAGGUCAGUACAUUGAAUGUACUGGCAAUUUCACACUGUAGAGCAAUGCUGAGUAAAUGGCUAUCACUACAUGCAUAUUUGGUUGGUGGAGGCUCUAAGUUUAAUAUUUGCAUAAAACUAAUUUUUCCCUACAACAAAGAAAUAGAUUUUAUCUAACUACCAAGUUAAAUUGCCCAUAUAGAGAAGGUAAACCCAACUCAAUCCCAAAAUCACCAAAUCAUUAAUAACCCAACAAUCUCUUUAAAUAGAGUGAUGAGAUCAAUCAAAUUAAUAAGUAUCAGAUACUGAAGAUGUCCAUAACCGGGGACACGGCUAAUCAUGAUUAGUUUGUACACUCUGCAGAGAUUUGCGCACUUUUCCCCACAACUCGAUCUCCUCCGUUGUAUUUCUUACACUGCAUGAUGUUUGAGAAACGGAUGACCGAGACACAGUCUUUCCGAAGAGGUCCCCUUAACCGAUAGAUAGGCCGGUACACCUACAAUCCCCUACAUCUGCUAGCCCAUCAUGAAAAGGAUUCCCACAACUUACUCAACUAUGCCAGAGCACACGGAAGUUUACAGCAUGAAUAAUCUUUCGAUCCCUUUGAGCCUGGGUGGCAUUCCAAUAGGAUGAUCACACGGAUACCCGGGAUCUCCUAGGAACACUGGUAUAUCCCCAGGUGCCCGGGCAAGCCACUGGUAUAUCCCCAGGGUGCACCAACCAUUUUCACCCAGAUGUGUAUUAAAGUAGCCACCUUAAAGUUCCCUUAGUUAAAUGUAACUCUCACAUCUUUCAUGAAUCUCACAUACCAAUCCAUGUCUACGAGCAUAGCAAAGCAAUAUAAGCAUAACGUAUAAUACCCGGGGUUUGAUAAAAGACAAUAAGCUCCUACCUCAACAACUACUUCCCACGCCCACAUGUUACCAAAUCCUACUCAUGCAAUGUUUGAGGGUUGAAACUAAUGUAUAAAAAAACUGGGUAUGAAAAAUAUGAUCAAAGUGUGAACUUGCCUUGUACCGUUGAUGAAGAUUCGUCGCACUCAUAACUCGUGAUAGAUCUACUCGUCACACUCCGAUCAAUCUAUUGUAAGUAAGCAAUUGCAUACAUAAGCACUCAUGCAAAAGAAUCAAAGAAAAGAUCUCAAAAAACUUUGAAAACAAGCAAUUAACUCUUGCAACAGAAAACAAUUUCUAACAGUAUCAAAAUUGGGUGUAUUUGGUCUUAUCAGAAAGUUUAGGUCAAGAGCUUCAAUAGCAAAAAGAAUCAACUAAAUCGGAAUUAUAAAACUCAAGUUAUGAUCAAUAGAAGUUUAAAUUCAAAUCUGUUUGAAACCAAGUUUUAAACUGUCAAAAACAUGUUUAAGUUGGUUAUCUGGGUAGAGGGGAUCAUAACGAAGAAGUGGGCGUUGUUUUCGUUGGAUUUGGAUAAACGAGCAAAAAGUUAUGAGGGUUUAAAAAUCAGGGACUAAUCCGUGAUGAAAACAUUUAUGAAUAGGUCCCUGGCUGAAAAUUAACAGAAAAAGAAAAAUCUACGAACGAACAUUCGCUACAGAAA